rnacentral:rRNA from 1 species
AGAGGGUGCAAGCGUUAAUCGGAAUUACUGGGCGUAAAGGGCACGUAGGUGGGAAGGUAAGUCGGAUGUGAAAUCCCUGAGCUUAACUUAGGCAUUGCAUACGAUACUGCUUUUCUAGAGUAUGGGAGAGGGAAGUGGAAUUUCCGGUGUAGCGGUGAAAUGCGUAGAUAUCGGAAGGAACAUCAGUUGCGAAGGCGGCUUCCUGGCCUAAUACUGACACUGAGGUGCGAAAGCGUGGGUAGCGAACAGGGAUUAGAUACCCUGGUAGUCCACGCCGUAAACGAUGAGAACUAGCCCGUUGGGGCCCUUCGGGUCUUAGUGGCGUAGCUAACGCGCUAAGUUCUCCGCCUGGGGAGUACGGCCGCAAGGCUA